CCUACGGGUGGCAGCAGUGGGGGAUAUUGCACAAUGGGCGAAAGCCUGAUGCAGCGACGCCGCGUGCACGAAGAAGUAUUUCGGUAUGUAAAGCCCUAUCAGCAGGGAAGAAGAAAGGACGGCACCUGAGUAAGACGCACCGUCUCAAGACGUGACAGCAGCCGCGGUAAUACGGAUGGUGCAAGCGUUAUCCGGAUUUUCUGGGUGUAAAGUGGGCGUAGGCGGGAUGGCAAGCCAGAUGUGAAAGCCCGCGGCUCAACCGUGGGACUGCAGUGGAAACUGCCGGGCUGGAGUGCCGACGAGGUAGGCGGAAUUCCUGGUGUAGCGGUGAAAUGCGUAGAUAUUAGGAGGAACACCGGUGGCGAAGGCG
rnacentral:rRNA from 1 species